CUUAACAUGAUUUUAUCUUCAAUGAUCUUUAAGUCUGUGGUAAUUUUUUUAUCCUUAUAAAUAUUACUAAAUACUAUUGAAUUGAUUUAAUUUGAUUUUAAAAAUAAUAAGAUGUCAUAUGGUGGUUGUAAAGUCCUAAUAUAAUUCUAAAUUUGAAUUCUUUUACAAAGUUUAUUAAAUUUUCUUUAAUAGAAUAGUGAUUUUUAUUUUAUAAUAUUAAACAAAAAGAAGUAAGUAAAAGAUUGAUUUAAAUAAAAGUAAAUUCUUCCAAUUUUUUUGUAGUAAAGAUUAAUAUAUUUAUAUAUCUUAUGAAAAAGUUCUUCUAUUUUUUUCUUUGAUUAUUAUUAUUAUUAUUAUUAUUAUUAUUUUCUUUAACUGUUACCAUUUUGAACAUAUUAUUUAGAAGGAUAAACAGGUGUUUUUUAGCUUAACGUUAUGAAGAUUUUCACCAAUAAAGGCUUUCUAUCCAUCUUUGCUAAUGUCAUAGUUGAUAAAGUAAUACAAUGUGCAAUUCUUUUGUAAUGAAAAUUCACAUUUAUAAGGUUGUUUUAGAAAAGGAAGAGAGAAAAAGAAGGAGGUGGUGACUCAUUUUCUUUGUUUGAUGUCAUAUAUUUUUGCAAUAUUUAUUUUUAUUUUUAUUUUUAAGAUUAUUUAAAAAAAUACUUAUAUAAAAAUAUUUUCUUUUUAAUUUAAUCAUCAAGUAUAUUAUCAAAAAGAGAGUAUUUUUUUGCUUCUAAUCUUAUAAGAUUAUGUGUAGUGUGGAUGUUGACGUCAAAAAUAUUUUAUGAAAUGCUCAUGCUAUUCACAUCUUCAAGAUUAUAGACAACAUUCUUCUUUAUUAAUAAUUUUGACUUAAAUUACUAAGUUUAAAGAAAUGUUUUUAGUUUUUUUGAAUUAUACUUGUUAUACUAUUACUAAUUGAUUAUCAAGGUUUUUCUUUAAAAAAAAAAACAUUAAAUACAUGAACUGAAAUUUGAACUUUUUAAUCUAUCUCUUAUAUAUUGUGUUUUUUUAUUAGUCUAUGUUGUAGAAAAGAGAUAGACUUUGAAACAAAUCAAUUAGUUUGUAUGAGUCUUUAUUCUCCAUGCUAUUAAUUUAUUAUUUAAUGAUGUAAAUACAAUAUCAUUAAUAUUUUCUUUUCUUUCAAAACUAUUAAAGGACCUUGUCUUUAAUGUUUUUGUAAAUUCAAAGCCAAAAGUGUGUAGUGGACUUCUUCUGUUGUAAUUUUCUUUACUUGAUUAAAAAUGAUAUAAUUUCUUAUUCAGAUGGUGCAAUUAUUUGUUGUAAUAAUCUUGGAUGUAUUACAUAAAGAGGUUAUUCUAAUUGUUUGGUAUUUGUCUUCUAUUAUGUCUAUAUUUGUUGAAUAAGAAUAUUUUUAAUUUUAAUUGUAAAUUUUUAUCUAGUGUACUAUCAAUCUUACAUAGAAUCCGUUGAUUGCAAAGAAGAAUCUAAUUCUGCUAGAUAUAAUUGAUUGCUGAUAUUGAAUAUUUUUUUAUAGAACUUUGUGUUUGGUUCCAAUUUAGAUUCAUUACACUAAUGUUUGGUUCCAAUUUUCUCCAGUAUAAUCUAAUUUUUAAAAUAAAUUUAUGUAUAUCUAAAUUACAUGAUAUUGAUUUUUUUUCUUCAAAAUAAAAUAACACACACACACACACACACACACAUAUAUAUAUAUAUAUAUAUAUAUAUAUAUAAUUUUUUAAGGCUAUGAUUAAAUAUUUGGAUCAUUUUAAAAUAAUAAAUUAUUUGGAUUUAUUGUCUUUUAAAUUCUAAAUAAAAAUUAAUAAAAUAUUAUUAUGUUUUAAAAUUAGAACUCUUAAUAACUUUAAUGUAUGAUUCUAUUGACAAGAAUUUUAUACAAAAGUAAAUUGUAUGAUACAGUCUGUUGAUUGAAUAGAAGAAGUUUAAAUGGACCAUUUUCUUAUUUAUUACUUUUAAAGCAUUAAAUUAGAUAUUUUAUAUUUAAAACUAAAACCAUACAAAAAUGACUCAUAUUGAAGCCUUCAAUCAACUGUUGAAAUUAGUAUUAAAUAUAUUAGUAUUUUAAUAAACUGUACAAAAUUAAGAUAAUUUUUGUAGCAUUUAAUGAUCCAUAAUUGUAACUUUAUGUAAAAUUUUGUAACAAGAAAAAUUUCUGAGUAUCUCAGUGUAACCAUUUUGAUAAUCAAUAUGUUAUUGUGAACAUACCUGACCAUUGAACUUAUUUUUUUGUCUCUUGUUUGUAUGUAUUUAUGAAGCUGAGUUGUAGAACAUCAAGUAGAGUAUCGAAUACAUGUUUACAGCCACACAUAAUUAAUCAACCAAGUUAAUGGAACUCGACUAACAUAAAUGUGUGUUAUAAUGGACUACAAGGCUCACACAUACAAAACAGAACACAUCAAAUAUACACAUAUAUAUAUAUAUAUAUAUAUAUAUUGCAAUGCCAGCUAUCCGCCUGAUUUUGCUUCCACUUACAGCGCUUAUGUUUACUGCAUUCUUCAGCUCCUCAAACGGUUACACAGCUCAUCUGUCAUUGUCUUCAGACAUUCGUUAUUCUUCGUGUAAUACAAUGUGCAGUGUGAUUGAUCGCUAAUUUGGUUGUGGUUACAACAAAGCACAUGUCAAUCAAACUCGAAAGUGAAGGCAGCAAAUAUGCAAUCCGAGCUUCAUUGACAUCAAUCUAGAGUCGCUCUUCGACCACGCGUGCAAUUGUUGUGUAAAUCUCGAGAAAAAAGUGCUUGUCUACCUGCAUCUCGUAGUAACCGAUUCUAGAAAUUUCAGACAGUGCCUAUUCCCAUGCAUUAAAACGAAGAUUAACGAACUACCUGUGCCAGAAGAAGAGAGUCUAAUGUGUACACUCACAAUGAUGCAUGUUUCAUAAAUGGCAACAACGGCGUCUAAUCCACAACAAAGACAAGCACGGAAGACUCUGACGCCUUCGAAAUUGAGCAAAGGUUGUAGGAAUCUCAC
rnacentral:lncRNA from 1 species